rnacentral:lncRNA from 1 species
CCAUGCCUGCUGCAGAGGGGAUCUAAGCACGAAUGGGCUGCCAGUGCAAUGACCUUUCAGGUGCCCAGGGCGGCAUAAGACCAGGCUCUGUGCAUCUCAAUCUCAGCUCCAAACCGUCCAAGAGCCACCCUAGCCAGACAGGCCCUCCCCUAUUUCUGCUGUGAAGUUUCAUACCUUUCUCUCUGGUGAAAAAAACCUGGUGGCUUGGGUCCCAUAAGCGGCUCCAUUUCUCAAUGCCGGCCAUCUCCAGGCCAGGUAGAACCCCGGACCUCCUGGACUUUGAGUCUUCUGCUGGAUUCUGUGAGCCAAAGCUCCCCCUGCCCAGCUGGCUUCACGAGUGUGUUCCCUGUACAUGUCACGCAGGGCCCCAUGCUUCAUUUACCGCUCUGCCCUUGCCUUCUUGAAAUUCUUAAUGAUUUUUCAACAAGGGACCCCUGACUUGAAAAAUCAAAGGGCCCAACCAACACUGGGUCCGCUGACUAUGCAGCCAGGACCACUCUUCACCCAGGCUGCCUGAGCCGAGGCUCCUGCUCUUGCCGCCGCAGACUCGCAGACUCGAGGGCACGCACGGCCCUCCCCCGGUUCCGGCAGGCGCCGCCCUCAGACUUGGACCCCUGGACGCCUCCCCCAACCAGCCCACCACGGAGCCUCCCAAGCGCCUCUUCCCGCGACCACCUCCUAGUCUCAGAUUCCCAUCUCAGCCUGCAUGACUGACUUAAUAGCUCCUAACCUCCACUCCCCUCUGCGUGGCUGCCACCGAGCUCUUUCUAAAUUACAAAUCCGAUCAUGUCCCUCACCUGCUUAUAACACUUCAGGGGCUCCCUGCAGCUUAACUUAUAAAUUCCAAGCUUCUGUGGCCCAGUGCACAGAGCGCUUCCUGAUCCAGCCCCUGCCUGUGUCUAGAGAUCAUGCCCAGCCGUGCCUCACGGUCCCUCCUCCCCACCACCGUUUCUUUUAAUUUCCAGAAAGAGCCUGUUUCAUGCUCUGUGUCUCUGCACACAAUGUUUAUGCCUCUGGAGUGCCCUAUCCCCCAUUCUUCAUCUAGUUAAGCCCUGUCAUCUUUAGAACUCAGGUGCCACCUCCUCCAGGAAGCCUUCCCCCGUGCCCUGCAGCCCCGAGGGCCUCUCCCAGAGUGGUGGCUCUGACUGCCCACUUG